CUCUUCCCUCCGUGCCAGUUUGUCUUCGUUCCUUGUAACAAGCAUACUAGCUAUUUAUUCUUAGUGUUAGAGUUCCUGGUUUCCUGUGAUCAUAUCUUAGUUUUAUGACCUCGCCUUUUGCCCAGCACUUUGGAUAUUGUUUGCCUUCUCUGACUGCCUUCCUGUCUACCAACAAGUGCUAACAGUAGAUAUGCCCCGGCUUCACACUUGCUAGAUCAUUCAGUGUGCCAAUGUGGUGCUAAUGCUAUGGUUAAAUAUUCUCUGCUGUUCCCGGUCUGCCUGCCUUCCAGCUGACAGGUCAACUUCCACUACCUGCCCUGUUCCAUCACCAACUCCGGCCUAGCUUCUCCAAACCAUUACCACACCAACU